rfam:Nematostella vectensis strain CH2 x CH6 NEMVEscaffold_3264_Cont44684, whole genome shotgun sequence.
UCAUCAGUAUAGGGUGAUCCUUACCUGUCGCCCUCCGGGGCACAGUAAGGAACAUGAUGAUUGGUACAAGAUGAUCCUCAUGAGUUAUCCUAUCGGAGCUCGGGGCUUGCAACACCCCUUGUAUCUAACUCUGAA